GUUUGCCUUCCCUGGUUGUGCAUUAGAGGCAUGGCCAGAGGCAAUGGCAGGUGGAACUAUUGAUUUUCCCUGAAAGCUGAGAUUAUGGUGUGAAGUGUUUUGUUUGCGAGCUAAAAAGGCAGAAUAAUCAUGCAUAAUCAUGUCCAGUGGCCUUGAAACUAAACAGACAUAAGAAGACAGAGCUAAUAGGCAGAUGCUCGGAGAGCAUGACCUCUUCACACUGCACACCGGCCUGACAGCUAGUCACUGUCUCACACACACGCUGAGGCAUUUUAUGGGACAGUAGGAUAAGUGCAGUACAAGAAUGAUGAGACAGACAACAAGAAAUCCCCGUCAUUCUUUUUGGUAGCUAGUUUUGG